rnacentral:misc_RNA from 1 species
GAUGAAGAACGUAGCGAAAUGCGAUAAGUAAUGUGAAUUGCAGAAUUCAGUGAAUCAUCGAAUCUUUGAACGCACAUUGCGCCCGCCAGUAUUCUGGCGGGCAUGCCUGUUCGAGCGUCAUUACAACCCUCAGGCCCCCGGGCCUGGCGUUGGGGAUCGGCGGAAGCCCCCUGCGGGCACAACGCCGUCCCCCAAAUACAGUGGCGGUCCCGCCGCAGCUUCCAUUGCGUAGUAGCUAACACCUCGCAACUGGAGAGCGGCGCGGUCACGCCGUAAAACGCCCAACUUUCUUAGAGUUGACCUCGGAUCAGGUAGGAAUACCCGCUGAACUUAAGCAUAUCAAUAAGCGGAGGA